rnacentral:tRNA from 1 species
GGAGAGGUGCGUGAGCGGCUGAAGCGGGCGGUCUCGAAAACCGUUAAGGGUUCACUCCCUUCGAGGGUUCGAAUCCCUCCCUCUCCGCCA